AACGAACGCUGGCGGCAGGCCUAACACAUGCAAGUCGAGCGGACCUUUCGGGGUCAGCGGCGGACGGGUGAGUAACGCGUGGGAAUAUGCCCUUCUCUACGGAAUAGUCCUGGGAAACUGGGGGUAAUACCGUAUACGCCCUUUGGGGGAAAGAUUUAUCGGGGAAGGAUUAGCCCGCGUUGGAUUAGGUAGUUGGUGAGGUAAUGGCCUACCAAGCCGACGAUCCAUAGCUGGUUUGAGAGGAUGAUCAGCCACACUGGGACUGAGACACGGCCCAGACUCCUACGGGAGGCAGCAGUGGGGAAUCUUAGACAAUGGGGGCAACCCUGAUCUAGCCAUGCCGCGUGAGUGAUGAAGGCCUUAGGGUUGUAAAGCUCUUUCAGCUGGGAAGAUAAUGACGGUACCAGCAGAAGAAGCCCCGGCUAACUCCGUG
rnacentral:rRNA from 1 species